GGAGACGCUCGCUCUUGGGAGCGCCUCAGAUGUUGCCUCCACGGCCCCGCGGAGGGCCCCGGGCUGGCCGGGCGCCCACGCCGCGUACCUUGGUUCUGCCGAAGGGCCCUGCCGCUCCCCGGCGCGGUUGAGCUGGGGAGGCUGCGGCCGGAGUGGUGUGAGUGCCGCGUUUGAGACGAGGAAAUGAGUUUUGGUUUUUUAGUGUUGUGGGUUUUAGGUUUUUGUUUGGUCGCCGAGACUCGAGGAGCACUGGUUUGAGGAGCCGGAACUCGUCCGGCAGGUGCCAGAUCAUGAGGUGCAGCUGAGGGUGCCAGUGCAUUGCCAGCAGCUAUGGCCCAGCUGCUGCACGGCUGCAGAGCCACCUCCAAAGAGGCAAAUUCCACCUGAUUUGCUUACGUGCAUGUUGCAAGUGAGCAAGCUGCUGUGCCUGCAUAGAGCUGUAACUGGGUCAGGAAGACUAUCUGCAGGUGAGACACUGUGGUUAGGCAUUACAUCUAGGAGGAGCUAUCAUAUCUCUUUAAAUGUGUUGUGUUUUAGAACUUGCAGUUGCAUAAU